UCCCCGAUAGCUCAACGGCAGAGCAGCCGGCUGUUAACCGGCAGGUUGUUGGUUCGAAUCCAACUCGGGGAG
rnacentral:tRNA from 1 species